CUCUGCUCCAGCGUCGGGGCCACAGAAGGCAGGACUCGGGGAGACUCCACCAUGGCCUGGGCCUCUCUGCUCCUCACCCUCCUGGCUCAGUGCACAGGGUCCUGGGCCCAGUCUGGGCUGACUCAGCCCCCCUCGGUGUCAGGGUCCCCAGGCCAGAGGGUUACCGUCUCCUGCACUGGAAGCAGCUCCAACAUUGGGGGUAACUAUGUGAACUGGUACCAACAGCUCCCAGGAUCGUCCCCCAGACUCCUCAUCUAUGCUAAUAGUAACAGAGCCUCGGGGGUCCCGGACCGAUUCUCUGGCUCCAAGUCUGGCAGCUCCGGCUCCCUGACCAUCACUGGGCUGCAGGCUGAGGACGAGGCCGACUAUUACUGCUCAGCGUGGGACGACAGCUUAAAUGGUCUCACAGUGCUUCAGGCCUGUGGGGAAGUGGGACCAAAACCUUGCACGCUGCCCUGUCUCUGCCGAGUCAGCCGCCUCCUGGGGUUUGUGGUGUGA